CAUUUCAUUAGAUUUACAUUAAACAAACUCUUUUUUGCUUAUGCCAGAACUUUUCAGCAGGGCUCUGUGCAUGGGCUGCCCUGGAGGGGCAUUAAACUGACAUACCCACUUUGGGAAGUGUGCAAGUCAUUGAUGAUGGCACAGCACACCCCUCCCUAGCUCUGCCCCACCCUCCUGUAUUGUGCUGCUCUGUCUUUAAAUGCCCUGGACUAAUUUUUCUGCAAG